rnacentral:lncRNA from 10 species
AAAAUUCUGAUUACCUUAAGAAAAACUGUAUACAACUUUUUAGAUGAAAAUAAUAUAUUAUGCAACCUCUAUUUUUUUUUUUUUUUUUUGAGGGUGGUGUUGGAAUCCUUAAAUAGGUUGCAUUUUACUUUUAAUUGACUUCUGAACACUCAUGUGCUGUGCUGGCAAUAUUUACUAAAGAGUAAUACUUUAUCUUCUAUUAGCUUAGAAAUGUCAUAAUGUUGAAGCUCCACAGCUAAAUUUCUAUGGUGAAUAUCAACUACUUUUGGAACAUAUUGUUAACCUAUUCUACCAAGUGUCAAAAAUUUUGCUCAAGAAAGAAAUGCAAUUUCCUGGACUAUGAACCAGCUUUUGGUGCAUAGACACAUAUCUAAUAUACUUAAUGUUAAAUCCUGCAGUACUUGCAUAUCAAUGUAUUAACAAAAACCCAGAACGUUCCUUUAACUAUUUACAUACAUUUCACAACUUCCCUUUCGAUUCAGAAUUGCUUCACCUAUAAUUUUUGUGCUUUCCAGAGCAUUACAACAAUGUGAUACAAUGGGGGUUGUUGUGAAAACCACUAGAUCAUUUCACCUACUCCAAAAUGCAGGGGCAGCUUGCUUGCUUAAGUGUCUCAGGCAGAUGGAUCAUAUUAACGUCUGUGCACUACAGCUUGCCCUGGCUACCAGGGUGUUUCUGGAUGCAGUUCAAAGCGUUGACUUUGAUCUAUGAAGCUGUAUACAUUUUAGGCCAGGAACUAUUUAUCCUAAAAUCACCCAUAGUGGGCAAGAUGAAACAGGGAACCAUUGUUGAAGCUGCCAGCAUCAUAAUUCAAAGUUAGUAGCUUUCUCGGUAAUGUCCACCAAGUUGCCAUUACCUGAAGAAUUCAACUGCACUUUUACUAUCCUCUUAACUGUAUAGCCUAAUGUGG